ACAAAGGCUCUUUUAAGAGCCACUACAUGACCAAUAAAAAGAGCUGU
rfam:Phaethon lepturus contig44443, whole genome shotgun sequence.